GCAGGUGUAGUUUAAUGGUAAAACGUCUGCUUGCCAUGCAGAUAAUGGGGGUUCGAUUCCCCUCGCUUGCUCCA
rnacentral:tRNA from 3 species